rnacentral:rRNA from 1 species
AUGAAGGAGCCUUUGACAAAGCUCUUUUCAAGUUCUAUGUUAAUCAAAAAGAAGUUCAUUCCAAUCACCAAAUAUGAUAUUCACAAUAUCCUUGACCUCCCAGUAGAUGGUGAGCCACUCCUUUGUGAUCCUGAGUCAGGACGUGAUUUUGUCCUCUCUCAUUUCAAUCUGUCAAGUAUUCCUCCAGUCUCUUUCUUCACCAAGAAGCUUAAAUCUUCCGAAGUCGAGUUGCCUGACGAUGACAUUUUCAUAUGCUUCAUGAUUGUUGCUUUCUCCUCCUUUCUAUGUCCAAACUCUAGUCUCAGUCCUAGUCCAAAGUACCUACACAUCUUCAACGAUUGUUGA